UGCAUGGUGGCGCUGUUGGUAGCACUGUUGCCUUCUUGUUGCCUUGCAGCAAGAAGGUCCUGGGUUCAAUUCCCGGCCGGGGGUCUUUCUGCAU